rnacentral:rRNA from 1 species
UACGGAGGGGGCAAGCGUUAUUCGGAAUUACUGGGCGUAAAGCGUGCGCAGGCGGUUUUGUAAGCCAGAUGUGAAAUCCCCGGGCUUAACCUGGGAAUGGCAUUUGGGACUGCAAGGCUUGAGUGCGGCAGAGGAGACUGGAAUUCCUGGUGUAGCAGUGAAAUGCGUAGAUAUCAGGAGGAACACCGAUGGCGAAGGCAGGUCUCUGGGCUGACACUGACGCUCAUGCACGAAAGCGUGGGGAGCAAACAGG